rnacentral:SRP_RNA from 1 species
CCGAUACGGGUGAGUCCUACACGACCAGCUCCUUGUGAAUCCCCCAGGGCUUGACCGCAGCAAGGGUAGCAGGUCGUAGCGGUGCGAUGCAGGUUGCUCACCUACCC